ACGGGUAUGAAAGAGCUGUUACAGCAGAGGGAAUAUUUUACCCUAACCCACUAGCCUAAAGCAAAGGGAGACCAGCCACCAUGGGUUUGCUUCAUUAUCUUUGCAUUCUCUCAUGCUGCCUCUUGCCAGGUGCUGUGGGAGCGGUCACUUUAACCCAGCCAGGUUCGGUGUUUGCUCGGCCAGGGGAAUCCAUUAUCCUCACCUGUGACACCUCUGGCUACAACAUCAACGACUACCUUAUGCACUGGCUCCGUCAAGCUGAUGGAAAAGGCCUGGUGUGGAUGGCAGCCUUUAGGACAGGGCAUGCCACCUACAUUGCGAAUGACUUCAAAGAGCGUGUGACCCCUUCCACCAACGACUCCACAGCAAAGCUGCAGAUUGCAAGACUCACAUUGGCAGACACAGCGACUUACUAUUGUACAAGAGAAGCACAGUGCCUCCUGCCUCACUCCCUCCCGUACAAAAAGCCUCUGAGGGCCUGGUCUCCUCUCAGUUCCUCUUCCCCUUUUCACAUUGCCUGA